rnacentral:rRNA from 1 species
AGAGUGAACGCUGGCGGUAGGCCUAACACAUGCAAGUCGAACGGCAGCACGGUAAGAGCUUGCUCUUAUGGGUGGCGAGUGGCGGACGGGUGAGGAAUCCAUCGGAAUCUACCUUUUGGUGGGGGAUAACGUAGGGAAACUUACGCUAAUACCGCAUACGCCCUUCGGGGGAAAGCCGGGGACCAGCAAUGGCCUGGUGCUGAUAGAUGAGCCGAUGUCGGAUUAGCUAGUUGGUGAGGUAAUGGCUCACCAAGGCGACGAUCCGUAGCUGGUCUGAGAGGAUGAUCAGCCACACUGGAACUGAGACACGGUCCAGACUCCUACGGGAGGCAGCAGUGGGGAAUAUUGGACAAUGGGCGCAAGCCUGAUCCAGCCAUACCGCGUGGGUGAAGAAGGCCUUCGGUUGUAAAGCCCUUUUGUUGGAAAGAAAGCAAUUCGGUUAAAUACCCGGUGUUCUGACGGUACCCAAAGAAUAAGCACCGGCUAACUUCGUAGCCAGCGAGCCGCGGUAA